ensembl:lncRNA
CGCCCCGCGCCGAAGCGAAGCCCACGUCAGCAGCUUUCCCCGGGAAAGGCGGCCGUUCCCAAACCUGCCAUCCCAAACGUGCGGGUUCCAGCCAAGCCCGGAAGGUGGGCGUGCAAAUGGGGCAGUCCCUCUGAAACCCGUUGGCACGGUGUAUUACUAUUUUAAAAUCACGUGACUUUUGGUAUCCGCACUUCCUACCUAUAGACCCAAACAGAGUCGGGUCGUUAGGCUUCGCUGGGUUUUCUCCUCCUCCUCCUUACAAACUCCAUCCCAGUCGCCGCCGGGCUCAGCCCCCGCCGGGCCUCCCUUUUGCACAAUUUCUCGCCUAGCCGCCCAGCGGUCUCCAUGGCAACGAGAGAAGCUGUUUUCUGGAAGCUGGAAGCUAAAAAUCUCUAGGACACCUGUGGUUGAGAAAAGCUGGUUUAAGAAUCUAACUCUGAGAAGCCAAGCCUUCCACGUGAGAAUGACCUCGCAGAUUAGGCGUCGGAUUUUGUAACCGGGUCUUUGCAGAUGUCAGUCAAGAUUUGAGAUGAGAUUGCCAUGGAUUAUCUGGGUGGACCCUAACUGCCGUCUGGAAUGUCCUUAUAAGAGAGAAGCAGGACUUCCCUAGAGGUUAAGAACCUGUCUGCCAGUGCAAGGGACGUGGGUUCGAUCCCGGGAAGAUUCCAAAUGCCACGGGGCAACUAAGCCCAUGCACCAUGACUCCUGAGCCCAUGCUACAUACAGCUAUUGAAGCUUGCAGCCUAGAGGCCAUGCUCGGAAACAAGAGAAGCCAUCAAAACGAGAAGCCGAGCACUGCAGCUGGAGAGUAGCCCCUACACACUGCAGCUAGAGAAAGCCUGCACACAGCAGUGAAGACCUAGCACAGCCAAAAGAAAAAAGAAAAGAAAGAAAGAAGCAAAGGAAGAGGAUGCAGACAUAGAGAAGAGGCACAGAAUCAGAGGAGGCUAUGUGGAGACGGAGGCAGAGACCAGAGUGAUGGGGCCCCAGCCCAGGAACACCUAGAGUCACCAGAAGCUGCAAGAAGUAAGGAAGCCUCCUUCAUAGAGUGUCUGGAGAGCACACAGCUUUGCAGACACCUUCAUUUUGGACUUCUGGCUGACAGGGCUGUGAGAGAAUAAAUCACAGUUGUUCUGAGCCAGCUGGUCUGUGGUCAUUUUUUACAGCAGCCACAGGACAGGAACCCAGACCCUCGAGUGUAGCUACUAAUUCUUCAGAUUCCAAUGGAGAAAACUUUAAAUUAAAA